UGAUUUCCUGUCGAUACAAAACCGCCGUUAAAACGAUGGCAGUUGAGGUCCUUGGCGCGCACCGGAUUAUAUCUCCAAGACUCCAUAGACGAAAAAGAAAGAUGGCUGCUGGUGUGCUGCAUGCUGCUUCCUUGGCCAGAAUCUGCUCCUUGACUCCCACCGCAGAUAAAUGGAACAUUUGCAGAUUGAUUUGGUCGCACAGACACUCAAUGGUUUCCCAGAACUCUUCCUCCGCCACUGCUAUUGGGUCUUCCACGACGUCGUCUUCGGGGACGUACGGCGAGUCGAAGAGGGUGUGGGUGUGGACGGAGAGCAAGCAGGUCAUGACGGCCGCCGUCGAGAGAGGCUGGAACACCUUCGUCUUCCCCUCUCAAAGCCGUGAACUUGCCGAUGAGUGGUCCUCAAUUGCAUUGAUCGAUACUAUCUUUGUCGAAGAGGGAGCGAUUUUCGAUGGUGAGAACAGAAGAGUUGCCACAAUGCUUCAGGUCGCCAACCCCAAGGAGUUGGAGCUGCUUCAACCCGAUAAAGCGCUCGGCGAAAAUGUAGUUGUUGAUUUGCUAGAUUGGCAGGUCAUACCUGCCGAGAAUAUAGUUGCUGCAUUUCAAGGGAGUGGGAAAACAGUGUUUGCUGUUUCGAAAACCGCAUUGGAAGCACAAGUCUUCUUUGAGGCCCUCGAGCAUGGUUUGGGUGGAGUUGUCUUAAAAGUUGAAGAAGUAAAAGCUGUUCUUGACCUAAAGGACUAUUUUGACAGAAGAGAUGAAGUGAGCAACAUAUUGAACUUGACAAAAGCCGUUGUAACUCGAGUCCAAGUAGCUGGAAUGGGGGAUCGAGUUUGUGUUGAUCUAUGUAGUCUCAUGAGGCCAGGGGAAGGACUACUUGUUGGCUCCUUUGCCAGAGGAUUAUUCCUCGUUCAUUCGGAAUGCUUGGAAUCAAAUUACAUUGCAAGCAGGCCUUUCCGUGUGAAUGCGGGACCUGUACAUGCUUAUGUUGCUGUUCCAGGCGGAAAAACGAGCUACCUCUCAGAAUUGAAAGCAGGUAAAGAGGUGAUCCUGGUUGAUCAGAAAGGCCAUCAACGAACAGCAAUUGUUGGGCGUGUAAAGAUAGAGACUAGACCGCUAAUCCUUGUAGAGGCAAAGGUCUUGAACAAGAGAUUCGGAUGAUCAAACUUUCUACAGCAUCCUUGUACAGAAUGCGGAAACAGUUGCCCUGGUUUGUCCCUCCAGAGAAAGCGAACUGCAAAAAACUGCAAUCCCUGUGACCUCGCUUAAAGUUGGAGAUGAAAUUUUAGUUAGAUUACAGGGCGGGGCUCGGCAUACAGGAAUUGAAAUUCAAGAAUUCAUUGUGGAGAAAUAAGAAAUGGAAGAUGAUGUGAACAUGAAAUUUGUCGAGAUUUCUUACAGCCAUGUAAAUUUGUAACUGACAUAACUGAUAUAACUAGAUCAUUUUUUGGCCGUGAAA